UGAAGCAUGUGACCCUAGGGGAGCCGGGGGCGGGGGAGGAGUCUCUCUAAACUGCCUUGGCUUCACUGAGGUUUGCAGGCAAAGAGAAUGAAUGCCAGAGAUCAGGGAGCAGAAAGGGCCCAUUCAUGGAGGGCUCAACAAGGCGAAGCGACGCCCUGCCUUGCUAAACUCCCGAGACUCAAGAGUCCUGGGCUCCCAGCUCGCCUGCAGCCACGCAGGGGUCUUCAUGCCUCCGUAUGGAUUUCCUUUGGCAGAGAUAUUAAAGCAGUUUACCACUU